UCGGGAAUUUUGGGCAAUGGGCGAAAGCCUGACCCAGCAACGCCGCGUGAAGGAUGAAGUAUUUCGGUAUGUAAACUUCGAAAGAAUAGGAAGAAUAAAUGACGGUACUAUUUAUAAGGUCCGGCUAACUACGUGCCAGCAGCCGCGGUAAUACGUAGGGACCAAGCGUUGUUCGGAUUUACUGGGCGUAAAGGGCGCGUAGGCGGCAAUUCAAGUCAUCUGUGAAAUCUCCGGGCUUAACUCGGAACGGUCAGAUGAUACUGCUUUGCUAGAGUGCAGAAGGGGCAAUCGGAAUUCUUGGUGUAGCGGUGAAAUGCGUAGAUAUCAAGAGGAACACCUGAGGUGAAGACGGGUUGCUGGGCUGUAACUGACACUGAGGCACGAAAGUGUGGGGGAUCGAAACAGGAUUAGAUACCCCAGUAGUCCCUGAGCGGGCUGGCAAGGCGCAU
rnacentral:rRNA from 1 species